UUCGAUAUCAUAUUCCCUCAUGCCUAUUCUAUAUUUAUCGCGCAUGAAUGCAUCUUUCUUAAUUAAAACAACUACAGAAGUUGAUCGAUCCAAUUCAGUUUAGGUAAUUAAUUAAGAAAGAAAUGGUCAGAAAGUACAGCCAUUAUGCCAUGCACAACGAACAAAAUUCAGGUCAACUUGCAAUUAUUUGGCAUAUGGGUGAAACCAAGACAGCUCAACUCUCACAUGGGACCCAAAUAAUAAAUCCAAAUAAUAAUUAGACAAACUUGUUGCUGCACGUUGUCACAAUAGGGGAGAAAGAAAAUGAAAAACCACAGUUUUGUUGUAUAUCACACAAACUAAAAUGAAAAAAAUAAAUAAAUAUGUACAGUCCACCUCAAUAUGAUGUAAGAAAAAUUGACGCUACAGUUUAACCAACUUAAAACGGUUUCUUCAACAAUUAAAAGAAAAGGAGAUUCGAGGUCGAUUGAUAAUGACUUUAACUUCUAUACACCAACCAAUUAUGUAAGAGAAUUUCACACCAUCACGUUGCCUAAUGUAGAUAAUUACAAGUAACAUCCAUCAAGUGAGAUUAAUAAACAGAGAUGUCAGCGUAUAAAAGUUAAAUUCAUAUCAAAAUGGGGAGAUAUAUUGGAAGAAGAAAUGAACUAGAAAAUUUUAGCAACAUCCUUAAUCAAGCCUCUAUUGGCUCUGGCAAAAUCUGUGAACUCUUGAAAAGAAAUGAAACCAUCUUUAUCAGUAUCAAUUUCAUCCAUCAUAUACUUAACUUCUUCAGGAGUAAUAGAACCUAACGCUUGCAAGGUCUCUCCAAGUUCUGUCGCAGAGAUUUGUCCAUCACCAUCUCCAUCAAAACGCUUGAAGAUUCGUUCUCGAUCAGCUAUAUCUUUUGGAUCAUCAGCCUCUGCCAUUCCUCAACAGUUUUUAAUUUUUACCAAUCUUUUUAUAAUGGCAAUUAUAAUAUGGCAAAGUUUGUUCUUCUAAUUUGUGUUUGGUUUAAUAUUUAGUCACUUAGAUCCAAGAAAUGACUUGAUUUGGGGUUAUAAAGGGGUAGAUCUCUAUCAAUGUAUGGUUAACCUUAUCAUUAGGACAUGGGAUUUUUGUGGACAAACUCUGAAAGGGUCUAGACAUCCAUCCACAAUCAAAGAUAAUUAACGGAAAUAACAAAUUUAUAAUUGAAAAUUCCACAUAUAUUGAAUGGAUUGGAAUCUCAUAUUUUAAUUGCGCUUCCGCUAUAUAUACUGUACUUGAACUGUUGGAUAAUCAUAGUCAAUAUGAUAAUAACUAAUUCUUAAUUCUAUAACGGUGAAUAGAAAUUUGAUUGCCCAUUUGAAGUUUAGUGCCUUCCCUUAGAUCUGUACUUGAAAGUUUCUUAUCUCCUACCGUCAUACGCCUCCAACCGUUAAUAGUUUUGAUAUCCCAUUUUGAUCAAUACGGCAUAUAAUAAAUCAUAAUGAGAUUUCCUAUUAUCAUAUUGUCGGAUGAAUACAAUCAAAUAUAAUCAAACGGGACCUCAUCCUGAUGGAAAAUUUUUAAUUCAAAAAUGAAAUAAAAAAGGCAUAAAAUUAAAAUAUAAAUAGCACUAAAGGUGGAUUGUAAAUCUUAGUAGAUACCGAAGUUUGAAAGAGAUAAGUAUGUCUUAAACCAUUAGAUGGUGGGGGCGGGCUUGACCAACUGUAAAAAUUAUGCUUGUCGAUAGAGUAGGUGAUUUUGAAUUAGCAUCUUACUAUGAUCAUUAUAUUAUUUAAUUUAAAUUUAUGUUGAUAAAAGGUAUAUAAAAGUGUAUCACCUAAAUUGUAAAGAGGAAGUGAGUAUUUAAAAGUUUAUUGUUAUAUUGAAAUAUAAAUGGCAGCACAAACAUCAAAAAAUGGCAAAGCCAAGUUGAAUUUUGUGCAUCAAAUUAGUUCAAACUUUUGCAGCAGUGUAAAGGGAGAAUUUUAAUUAAUGGAUAUUGAAAAAAAAAACAAAAAAACUUGAGCACUCCUGCUCCUCACAAAUGCUUUAAAAUGACAUGUUGAACAUUUCCUCUGAUCCCUAAUAGUACCUGCUAGGUAUGAUAUUUUAUUUAAUGGAUAUGAACAAUUCCUAAAUCACCGGCAAAACUCUCCAAAAUCAUUGCAAGAGUUAAAACUAUAUGACGAAAAUCCAAAAUUAUUUCUACUUUUAUGUUUUAAAAUAGAGUUGUUAGUAUGGAUCGGUUCAGUCCAUUCGAACUAGCUUACAUGAGCUUUGGAGUUUGAUGGGCCGCGCUGGGCUGACUCAUCAACAUGAGAGGCCAAAAAAUAACAAGUCCAACCCAUCACAUUGUGGACUGCAGGCCUUCACGGGCCAACCCAUUUUUUAAAAUAUAUUAUUUUUAUAAUGUUAAUUUAAAUUUUAAAAUAUUAAUUAUAUAAUAUUUACAAUAUAAUAUUACAUGAAGUUACUACUUGUUAAUUAAGUCACAAUAGGGGAGAAAGAAAAUGAAAAACCACAGUUUUGUUGUAUAUCACACAAACUAAAAUGAAAAAAAUAAAUAAAUAUGUACAGUCCACCUCAAUAUGAUGUAAGAAAAAUUGACGCUACAGUUUAACCAACUUAAAACGGUUUCUUCAACAAUUAAAAGAAAAGGAGAUUCGAGGUCGAUUGAUAAUGACUUUAACUUCUAUACACCAACCAAUUAUGUAAGAGAAUUUCACACCAUCACGUUGCCUAAUGUAGAUAAUUACAAGUAACAUCCAUCAAGUGAGAUUAAUAAACAGAGAUGUCAGCGUAUAAAAGUUAAAUUCAUAUCAAAAUGGGGAGAUAUAUUGGAAGAAGAAAUGAACUAGAAAAUUUUAGCAACAUCCUUAAUCAAGCCUCUAUUGGCUCUGGCAAAAUCUGUGAACUCUUGAAAAGAAAUGAAACCAUCUUUAUCAGUAUCAAUUUCAUCCAUCAUAUACUUAACUUCUUCAGGAGUAAUAGAACCUAACGCUUGCAAG
rnacentral:lncRNA from 1 species